rnacentral:rRNA from 1 species
AGUGAACGCUGGCGGUAGGCCUAACACAUGCAAGUCGAACGGCAGCACAGUAAGAGCUUGCUCUUACGGGUGGCGAGUGGCGGACGGGUGAGGAAUACAUCGGAAUCUACUUUUUCGUGGGGGAUAACGUAGGGAAACUUACGCUAAUACCGCAUACGACCUACGGGUGAAAGCAGGGGAUCUUCGGACCUUGCGCGAUUGAAUGAGCCGAUGUCGGAUUAGCUAGUUGGCGGGGUAAAGGCCCACCAAGGCGACGAUCCGUAGCUGGUCUGGGAGGAUGAUCAGCCACACUGGAACUGAGACACGGUCCAGACUCCUACGGGAGGCAGCAGUGGGGAAUAUUGGACAAUGGGCGCAAGCCUGAUCCAGCCAUACCGCGUGGGUGAAGAAGGCCUUCGGGUUGUAAAGCACUUUUGUUGGGAAAGAAAAGCAGCAGGUUAAUACCCCGCUGUUCUGACGGUACCCAAAGAAUAAGCACCGGCUAACUUCGUG